CGCGUCGGUUCCAUAUUCUGUGACUGACUCCGCUGGCGCCCGCCGGUUUGUCACAGAACACGGGACCGGCCACAU
rnacentral:miRNA from 14 species